GUGAGUAACACGUGGGCAAUCUGCCCUGCACUCUGGGACAAGCCCUGGAAACGGGGUCUAAUACCGGAUACUGACCCGCUUGGGCAUCCAAGCGGUUCGAAAGCUCCGGCGGUGCAGGAUGAGCCCGCGGCCUAUCAGCUUGUUGGUGAGGUAAUGGCUCACCAAGGCGACGACGGGUAGCCGGCCUGAGAGGGCGACCGGCCACACUGGGACUGAGACACGGCCCAGACUCCUACGGGAGGCAGCAGUGGGGAAUAUUGCACAAUGGGCGAAAGCCUGAUGCAGCGACGCCGCGUGAGGGAUGACGGCCUUCGGGUUGUAAACCUCUUUCAGCAGGGAAGAAGCGAAAGUGACGGUACCUGCAGAAGAAGCGCCGGCUAACUACGUGCCAGCAGCCGCGGUAAUACGUAGGGCGCGAGCGUUGUCCGGAAUUAUUGGGCGUAAAGAGCUCGUAGGCGGCUUGUCGCGUCGGUUGUGAAAGCCCGGGGCUUAACCCCGGGUCUGCAGUCGAUACGGGCAGGCUAGAGUUCGGUAGGGGAGAUCGGAAUUCCUGGUGUAGCGGUGAAAUGCGCAGAUAUCAGGAGGAACACCGGUGGCGAAGGCGGAUCUCUGGGCCGAUACUGACGCUGAGGAGCGAAAGCGUGGGGAGCGAACAGGAUUAGAUACCCUGGUAGUCCACGCCGUAAACGGUGGGCACUAGGUGUGGGCGACAUUCCACGUCGUCCGUGC
rnacentral:rRNA from 1 species